UUUUUAUUUGUUAAAAUAUAUAUUAAAUUAUUAUUAUAUUAUAGUAUAUUAUAUUAUAUAUUAUAUUAUAUAAAUAAGUAAAGAAACAUAAGAAACAGAAUGAAAGCAAAUGAAACAGAGAAGAAACAGGGGAGAAAGAAAGAAAGAAAAAGAAAAAGAAAAAGGAAAAUUUGGGUUUCAAGGCUCAAAGUUUAAUUUGUCAAUGUGGUACCAGAAAUCUCGGCUAAGAAAGGACAAGACAAAGUCAACGGGAGUUAACUCGAAAAUUACGGUUUAGUAAAGAUAGAACGUUGAAUCAGCAUCCCAGUUCGAUCCCGAAUUCAUUAAGGUACGAAAGCGACUAACAACUCAACAUCCAAGCCAAGCCCGAACUCAAAUACUUGGUGACGUAUUUUAUUUUAAGAAAUGGCAUGUACCUAAGUUGUCUUUUGAAGUUAUUUUGUGUAAGAAUGAUAAUGGUUAGCCCAUAAAUGAAAAGUUAUCUUUAUAA